GGUUCUUGACAUUGACCGACGGUGUUAAUCGUUUUGAAGGUGCAAUUUUGUCCAAGAUCAAAGAGGAAGAAAUUUGCAUCCACAAAUUGGUGCUUUCAUUGAAAGUUGAGAUUCAUACUCGUAGAAGACUCUCGCGCAAAAAUGUUUUUUUCUCUAUUUUCUAGUCCACUUGUAUUUUUCGUACGUUCUUAUUAUUAGAAUUUUU
rnacentral:lncRNA from 1 species